AGGCAGAUAGCUCAUUCGGUUAGAGCGUCGUUCGGGGAAGGGGAAGUUCCUGAGUUCAACCCUCGGUCAGCCCA
rnacentral:tRNA from 1 species